UGUGAUGAAAUUUAUGAAGGAGAUAAUUCUGCACAAUGCUGACACAAUUCCCACGCAGUACUUUGCCGACACAUAUUGCACAGUGUAUUCAUCUGCUCAGAUGGAAGAAAUCGUUGAGGAGUUGGCGAUGGCCUUAUUCCGUCAGUGGGCACAACAUAGAUAGGGAAGUGUACAUUAAGACAGUGUAUGUACGUACAGCUAGCUUUGGUUUCAAUAUAAUUUUGGUUUUGGUUCA